GGUAACGGGGAAUUAGGGUUCGAUUCCGGAGAGGGAGCCUGAGAAACGGCUACCACAUCUAAGGAAGGCAGCAGGCGCGCAAAUUACCCAAUCCUGACUCAGGGAGGUAGUGACAAGAAAUAACAACACUGGAAAUUUGAUUUCUAGUGAUUGGAAUGAUGGGAAUCCAAACCCCUUUCAGAGUAACAAUUGGAGGGCAAGUCUGGUGCCAGCAGCCGCGGUAAUUCCAGCUCCAAUAGCGUAUAUUAAAGUUGUUGCAGUUAAAAAGCUCGUAGUUGGAUGUCUGUUGGAAGCAAUCAUCAGUCCGCCCUAUUUGAUUAGGGUGUGAAUAUGAUGAAUUCCGGCAUAAUUGUCUCCCUAUUAUCAAUAUAUAAGAUGAUCAUUAUUAGAUUCAUUUCUAAUAAUGCGUCUACUAUAUUAUUGGUAGUAUGGGAGAAAUGUUACUUUGAGAAAAUUAGAGUGUUUGAAGCAGGCUUUUGUUGCCUUGAAUACUGCAGCAUGGAAUAACAAUAUAGGAUUUCGGUUCUAUUUUGUUGGUUUUUUUUAGGACUGAAAUAAUGAUUAAUAGGGACAGUUGGGGGCAUUCGUAUUUAACUGUCA
rnacentral:rRNA from 1 species